rnacentral:lncRNA from 1 species
UUAGAAUCAUAGUGUGCUUGUGAAAUCUUGUUUUGCUUUGAGUUCUGAACCAAGUCUGCUAACAGAACCAUUUUAUCAUCUAUGUGUGCCUGCAGAGCCUGGAUUUGGCGAUCGAUGUAGUCCGUUAGUUUUUUCUCCAUCAGAUCCAUAUUUUUGGAGAUGAUCUUCUCCAGAUAGGAGCAAAUAGGCUGUUGUUCUAUUCCAACAGUUUGAAUGCCUUCUUCUUUAGUCACCACGUUUUUA